rnacentral:rRNA from 1 species
AUUGAACGCUGGCGGCAGGCCUAACACAUGCAAGUCGAGCGGAUGAAGGGAGCUUGCUCCUGGAUUCAGCGGCGGACGGGUGAGUAAUGCCUAGGAAUCUGCCUGGUAGUGGGGGAUAACGUCCGGAAACGGGCGCUAAUACCGCAUACGUCCUGAGGGAGAAAGUGGGGGAUCUUCGGACCUCACGCUAUCAGAUGAGCCUAGGUCGGAUUAGCUAGUUGGUGGGGUAAAGGCCUACCAAGGCGACGAUCCGUAACUGGUCUGAGAGGAUGAUCAGUCACACUGGAACUGAGACACGGUCCAGACUCCUACGGGAGGACGCAGUGGGGAAUAUUGGACAAUGGGCGAAAGCCUGAUCCAGCCAUGCCGCGUGUGUGAAGAAGGUCUUCGGAUUGUAAAGCAAUUUAAGUUGGGAGGAAGGGCAGUACGUUAAUACCUUGCUGUUUUGACGUUACCAACAGAAUAAGCACCGGCUAACUUCGUG